AGCAUAUUGGGCCAGAAAAUUAGAAAAAAGUGAUGUGGGGUGUGUAAAUUAAAUAAACGCUGCAGAGAGUAAAAACUUUGGGAAGCAUAUUGGGCCAGAAAAUUAGAAAAAAGUGAUGUGGGGUGUGUAAAUUAAAUAAGGGCUGCAGAGAGUUAAAACUUUGGGAAGCUUAUUGGGCCAUAAAAUUAGAAAAAGUUAUGUGGGGUGUCUAAAUUAAAUAAAGGCUGCAGAGAGUAAAAACUUUGGGCAGCUUAUUGGGCCAUAAAAUUAGAAAAAGUGAUGUGGGGUGUCUAAAUUAAAUUAAAUAGACAUUCAAGUUAAAUUAAAUGAAAUUGCAAUUUAUGAAUUAUGUUGUUUAUAUGUAUGCAUUAAAU
rnacentral:lncRNA from 1 species